rnacentral:rRNA from 1 species
AUUGAACGCUGGCGGCAGGCCUAACACAUGCAAGUCGAGCGGAUGACGGGAGCUUGCUCCUUGAUUCAGCGGCGGACGGGUGCGUAAUGCCUAGGAAUCUGCCUGGUAGUGGGGGACAACGUUUCGAAAGGAACGCUAAUACCGCAUACGUCCUACGGGAGACAGCAGGGGACAUUCGGGCCUUGCGCUACCAGAUGAUCCUCGGUCGGAUUAGCUAGUUGGAGGGGUAAUGGCUCACCAAGGCGACGAUCCGUAACUGGUCUGAGAGGAUGAUCAGUCACACUGGAACUGAGACACGGGCCAGACUCCUACGGGAGGCAGCAGUGGGGAAUAUUGGACAAUGGGCGAAAGCCUGAUCCAGCCAUGCCGCGUGUGUGAAGAAGGUCUUCGGAUUGUAAAGCACUUUAAGUUGGGAGGAAGGGCAGUAAGUUAAUACCUUGCUGUUUUGACGUUACCGACAGAAUAAGCACCGGCUAACUCUGUGCCAGCCGCCGCCGUAA